GGCUCCUGUAUCCAUGGGAUUCGCCAGGCAAGAAUACUGGAGUGGAUUGCCGUUCCCUUCUCCAGAGGAUCUUCCUGAUCCAGGGAUCGAACCCAGUUACAGGAUUUCCUGACCAGGGAUGGAGCUUGUGUCCCCUGUAGUGGAAGUUUGGAGUCCUAACCACUGGACUGCCAGGGAAGUAUUUCUUUUUAUGGCACUGAUUAUAAUCCCUAAUUAUCUUGCUUCUGUGUUCAACUUUUCUUUCCUGCCCCUGCCCCAUCACUAGAUUAGGCUCCCUGAGAGCAGGGAGUGUGCCCCCUCUCUCCCUCCCUCCCUCCUCCCCUCCCUCCCCCUCCCCACUGGGGCUCACCAUUCUAUUCCCAGGGCUCAGCAGAGUGCCUGGUGGAUGGCAGUUAUCUUCACAAAUAUUUGUGGAAUGAAUGGAUCUUGUAU
ensembl:lncRNA